UGGGCCCGUCGUCUAGCCUGGUGAGGACGCUGCCCUUACAAGGCAGAGGUCCUGGGUUCAAGUCCCAGCGGGCCCAU
rnacentral:tRNA from 1 species